UCCCUGGUGGCUCAGAGGUUAAAGUGCCUGCCUGGAAUGCAGGAAACCCGGGUUCAAUCCCCGGGUCAGGAAG
rnacentral:tRNA from 1 species